GGUGGAGGGGCCGGGCGCGAGGCCGCGGAGACAGCUCGGAGCUCGGCACUGGGGAGUGGCACAGCGCUGGCGGAUCCAGGGGCCUCCUUCCUCUUUCAGCUGUGCGCCCUGGUUGUGGAGGCUCCUAAGGAGGUUGUGGCCUCGGUUUACCACCUGCCUUGGCUCCUUGGUGUUGCCAGACCCUGAAGGCAGCCCAUGCCCUGGCUGAGAUCCUUCUGGGGCGGGAUGUGCUGGAAGCAGCUGAACCACGUGGUGAUGUACCAGCUCCUGCUGUCCCCUACAUCCCCAGCACCGCCAGCCUUCCCUGGGCUCCUCCGGCCGGCUCCUCUACCCUGUACCCGCCCCACCCUGCUACCACCCCCCAACCAGACUUCCAGCUCCAGGCAGGGUCGCAGCCUCCUGGGCUCCCAGCAGGACAGGCCUCACCCAGACCCCGCAGGAGCCAUGGGACUUGGGCUGGGUCUUUGGGCCUGGCUGCAGCCCCUUUGGACCUGACCUGAGGAGACACCCUGGCUGUGGGAGGCAGGGUGGGGGUGCCGGGCCCAGCACAGAGGUGCCCAGGGUGCAGGCUGGCACUGGCCCGGCAGGGACCGUGGAUGCCGCCGUUUCAGGCUCGAAAAGGUUUCCAUGCCCCAGAGCCUGAGCCCGGCAGCCCCCGAGGAUGUCUUGGGGACUCUGUGCUCCCCAAAGCCGAGAAGGUUAGGCUUGACCCACAGCCUCUUCCAGGCCGGGGAGGCAGAGGCGCUCCAGGUCGGUAGGGCGGGGCCCACAGCCCAGGGUUUCACGUCCCCAAAACGGGGCAGGGUGCUGGAGGCGCAGGUGUCCACAGGGUGGUCGUUUUGGUCUCUCCUGGACUUGCACGCGUGUAGUGCAGACUGGCUGCCGGCAAAGCCCUGAGCCACAUUCAUCUGGGCCUUGUUAGGACAACAGGGACGGUGCGGGGUGGGGGGGUUGCGGGGCGCAGGACCACGUCAGUGGAGGGAGGGAGGCCGAUAUCGGUGCCCAGGCUGGGCCCAGGGGCCAGCGGGUCCUCACCUGGCUUGUGGCUGCCCCUGUUAGGCAGCCCGGAUGGAGGGGCUCUUCCAGCCCUGCUGGCCCCGGGAAUGCAGGGACUCAAUUCCCCCUGGUCUCAGUGGCUCUUCCGGGAGCAACACAGCCUGCCCGAGUCGACACCACCCCUCGGGUUUGAGUCCCUUCUGUCUACCCCUACCCCCGCCAGGGCACUGCCCCCUUGCCCGGAAGAGGCAGCGGCACCCCCAGCCCCUUGGGGAGGAUGCCCUGCCGGCCCCACACUCGGUGGAUGGGCAUUUUGGGGCUAGGAUUUAAUGGGGGUGACCCUGCCCGACCCCUCUAUGUUGGUUCCACGGCGUCAGAAGAAAGCUGUUAUUAACCCAGCUUAUUUUCUACAAGUCUUGUUUAUUGAAAGGAUCUGAAAAGCGUAAUAAGGCUUUCAAUGACAUUUAAUACAUUUUCAAGAAAUUAAUAUGAAACAUUAAAAUUUACUUCAAAAAUCCAAAGUUUUCUAGAUCAUUCCCAUCUCACGCUGCUUUAGAGGUCAGUUCACACCUUCUGUGUUCAGAUGAGCGGCUGGAAUUCUGAACACUGCCGUCUUCCAGCCCUAACGCUGGGCGCUGGUCCCUCUCUCCUAAGCCCACGGCUGGGCUUCCCCUGUGCCCAGGGUCAUGGCGGACUUCAAGCCAGGCCGGCUGCCCAGAAUCACACUCAGGGUUUUUGGACGCUCAAGUCCACAGAUGCUGAGGUGCCCAGACGAGGGUGAGCAGGGAGACACAUGCCUCGGAGAACGUGCCCAGGCUGGGCCAGGCGGCUGCGGGAAGCUCCUCACGGGCAGAGGAGAACGUCUUGUGCCUUCCUUAUCGAUCUCCAGCAGAUGAGGGCAACUUCGUGUG